CUCAGGACGAACGCAGGGGGCGUGCCUAAUACAUGCAAGUCGAACGCUUCUUUCCUCCCGAGUGCUUGCACUCAAUUGGAAAGAGGAGUGGCGGAUGGGUGAGUAACACGUGGGUAACCUACCCAUCAGAGGGGGAUAACACUCGGAAACAGGUGCUAAUACCGCAUAACAGUUUAUGCCGCAUGGCAUAAGAGUGAAAGGCGCUUUCGGGUGUCGCUGAUGGAUGGACCCGCGGUGCAUUAGCUAGUUGGUGAGGUAACGGCUCACCAAGGCCACGAUGCAUAGCCGACCUGAGAGGGUGAUCGGCCACACUGGGACUGAGACACGGCCCAGACUCCUACGGGAGGCAGCAGUAGGGAAUCUUCGGCAAUGGACGAAAGUCUGACCGAGCAACGCCGCGUGAGUGAAGAAGGUUUUCGGAUCGUAAAACUCUGUUGUUAGAGAAGAACAAGGACGUUAGUAACUGAAC
rnacentral:rRNA from 1 species